rnacentral:rRNA from 1 species
UACGAAGGGGGCUAGCGUUGCUCGGAAUCAACUGGGCGUAAAGCGCACGUAGGCGGAUUGCUAAGUCAGGGGUGAAACUCCUGGAGCUCAACUCCAGAACUGCCUUUGAUACUGGCGACCUUGAGUCCGGGAGAGGUGAGUGGAACUGCGAGUGUAGAGGUGAAAUUCGUAGAUAUUCGCAAGAACACCCGUGGCGAAGGCGGUUCUCUGGGACGGUACUGACGCUGAGACGCGAAAGCGUGGGGAGCGAACAGG